rnacentral:rRNA from 1 species
UGACGGUAGUGGUAGAAGAAGCACCGGCUAACUACGUGCCAGCAGCCGCGGUAAUACGUAGGGUGCGAGCGUUGUCCGGAAUUACUGGGCGUAAAGAGCUCGUAGGUGGUCUGUCGCGUCAUUUGUGAAAGCCCGGGGCUUAACUCCGGGUUGGCAGGUGAUACGGCAUGACUGGAGUACUGUAGGGGAGACUGGAAUUCCUGGUGUAGCGGUGAAAUGCGCAGAUAUCAGGAGGAACACCGGUGGCGAAGGCGGGUCUCUGGGCAGUAACUGACGCUGAGGAGCGAAAGCAUGGGUAGCGAACAGGAUUAGAUACCCUGGUAGUCCAUGCCGUAAACGGUGGGCGCUAGGUGUGGGUGCCGUAGCUAACGCAUUAAGCGCCCCGCC